GGGGGUAUAGCUCAGCUGGGAGAGCAGCAGACUGAAGUGGCAUUUGUUCCGCGUAAGCAUCUUCUGAAGGUCCCGCGUUCGAUCCGCGGUACCCCCA